UUGUACAUUGAAAACACCGGUUCUCGUCCGAUCACCGUAGUUAAGCAAUGUCGGGCCCGGUCAGUACUUGGGAGGGUGACCACCUGGGAACACUGGUUGCUGUAGGUU
rnacentral:rRNA from 1 species